UACGGGGGGGGCAAGCGUUGUUCGGAAUUACUGGGCGUAAAGGGCUCGUAGGCGGCCAACUAAGUCAGACGUGAAAUCCCUCGGCUUAACCGGGGAACUGCAUCUGAUACUGGAUGCUUGAGUUUGGGAGAGGGAUGCGGAAUUCCAGGUGUAGCGGUGAAAUGCGUAGAUAUCUGGAGGAACACCGGUGGCGAAGGCGGCAUCCUGGACCAACACUGACGCCGAGGAGCGAAAGCCAGGGGAGCAAACAGG
rnacentral:rRNA from 1 species